rnacentral:rRNA from 1 species
UACGGAGGUGGCUAGCGUUGUUCGGAAUUACUGGGCGUAAAGCGCACGUAGGCGGCUUUGCAAGUUAGAGGUGAAAGCCCGGGGCUCAACUCCGGAAUUGCCUUUAAAACUGCAUCGCUAGAAUUGUGGAGAGGUAAGUGGAAUUCCGAGUGUAGAGGUGAAAUUCGUAGAUAUUCGGAAGAACACCAGUGGCGAAGGCGACUUACUGGACACAUAUUGACGCUGAGGUGCGAAAGCGUGGGGAGCAAACAGG